UACGUAGGGUGCGAGCGUUUAAUCGGAAUUACUGGGCGUAAAGCGUGCGCAGGCGGUUUUGUAAGACAGGCGUGAAAUCCCCGGGCUCAACCUGGGAACGGCGGCUUGUGACUGCAAGCUAGAGUGCGGCAGAGGGGGGAUGGAAUUCCGCGUGUAGCAGUGAAAUGCGUAGAUAUGCGGAGGAACACCGAUGGCGAAGGCAAUCCCCUGGGCCUGCACUGACGCUCAUGCACGAAAGCGUGGGGA
rnacentral:rRNA from 1 species